rnacentral:piRNA from 1 species
UAAUAACUGGGCCUCAACAUUGUAUAGUGA